rnacentral:rRNA from 1 species
AAAUUGAAGAGUUUGAUCAUGGCUCAGAUUGAACGCUGGCGGCAGGCCUAACACAUGCAAGUCGAACGGUAACAGGAAGCAGCUUGCUGCUUCGCUGACGAGUGGCGGACGGGUGAGUAAUGUCUGGGAAACUGCCUGAUGGAGGGGGAUAACUACUGGAAACGGUGGCUAAUACCGCAUAACGUCGCAAGACCAAAGAGGGGGACCUUCGGGCCUCUUGCCAUCAGAUGUGCCCAGAUGGGAUUAGCUUGUUGGUGAGGUAACGGCUCACCAAGGCGACGAUCCCUAGCUGGUCUGAGAGGAUGACCAGCCACACUGGAACUGAGACACGGUCCAGACUCCUACGGGAGGCAGCAGUGGGGAAUAUUGCACAAUGGGCGCAAGCCUGAUGCAGCCAUGCCGCGUGUAUGAAGAAGGCCUUCGGGUUGUAAAGUACUUUCAGCGGGGAGGAAGGUGUUGC